CACGUAGGGCGCGAGCGUUGUCCGGAAUUAUUGGGCGUAAAGAGCUCGUAGGCGGCCUGUUGCGUCCGCUGUGAAAGCCCGGGGCUUAACCCCGGGUCUGCAGUGGAUACGGGCAGGCUAGAGGUAGGUAGGGGAGAAUGGAAUUCCCGGUGUAGCGGUGAAAUGCGUAGAGAUCGGGAGGAACACCAGUGGCGAAGGCGGCCUUCUGGACCAAUACUGACGCUCAUGCACGAAAGCGUGGGGAGCAAACAGG
rnacentral:rRNA from 1 species